CACCGAGCCGAGCGGGUCCUUGAAGGGACUCUUCAGACCUUUUAUCCAAGCAUCUCUGUGCAGCAAAGGAAGAAGGGUUUCAUAGUGGAGAAGAGGACACUUCAGCAUCUAAGGCGGACCUGAGGUUAGGAAUAGAGAGCAGAGAGAAGAGGUUGGACUUCAUCCAGAGCCAGCCUGGAAACAUCCAUUUCCAACGUGCACGAACGCAGGCCCGCGAGGUGCUCCAUCAGAGGUGUGUCUGUCCUGAUGACUGCUCUCCUCUCAGCUAUUGUAUGGGUCAUUUUUCUAUGUCAACUCAUUGGAGCUCAGACGCUAAAUGCCUGGAGUCUCACAGACCGUGGAAGAUGAAGCUAUGUCUAUAUAUAGGGACCUGUGACUUAAAGAAGAGGCUGCCAGUCCCUGCUGCCUGUCUUGAAGGAAGUCCCUACCCUGCUCUCAGGUCCCCAGGUCCUCCCACAGCCUGAGGACCAGGGAGACCCAGGCUUCCUGCACAGCUUUUUCUUGGCUUUGUGAGGUUUUGGCCAUUUUGAGGGCAGUAAUGGCAUCAGCAAUACCAGCAAACUGGGGAAAAGCUGCACCACAGACAGCGACAGACACAGGCUUUUUGGAACCUCAAACAGAGCGGAAGGAAAAUGGCAGAUGCUCUAAGACAACCGGGCAUCCUAAGUUCUUGGGCAACUCUUCACCAGCCCUGUCUUUCUCUCUGAAAUAACAGGAAUGCACUGCGUAAAACUCAAGGUACCUUACAAGAAGACCGAAAUCCUAGAAAAGAUGGGGAAAGAAAACAGGAAUACUAAUUGUAGUUAAUGUAUCUCAAUUUUUACCCACAGCUGCUGAAGUUUGAGGAAACACAGUUUUAUAAUCAAAGCUUGAUGGAGAAAGAAACUGAGUCAUGUGACCAUUUGCCAAAAUAACAUAAGAAAUCAAAGAUGGAUCAAAGGACUAAAGUCUAGUUCAUGUAGCUUAUAACCCAUACUGCCAUCCCUCUUUCACUCAAGGAAGGAAUGAUUCAAAGUAAAUCACAACAAAGUGGAUAAAAAAUUAAAACCCUCAACUAUGGGUCCUACUGAUUAUGGCUCGAUGAUUUUACAUUUGGAUUUGGGAGAUUACAAAUUUGUCAGGUCUUCAAGCAAAGAGAGUCAUCUUCAGGCUUGGGCAAGAUUUCCCAACACCAGUGAAAUGUUUUGAAGAAGGAACAUGGUCCUUCCUAACCAGUGCAGACCUACUUCUUCACUCUGUCAAGGAUGUGGCUUAAGGCUUUCUGUUUGCUGCUCCCAGUGACAGAUGCCUUUCUUCUUAUAAUUGUAAUUUGCACAUCUGAUUAUUUAAGAGCAAGACUAUAAUCGGAGGGUGGGAAGGGAUGGGAUUUCAAAAUUGUAGAAUAGAUAAACAAGAUUAUACUUUAUAGCACAGGGAAAUAUACACAAGAUCUUAUGGUAGCUCACA